rnacentral:rRNA from 1 species
GACGAACGCUGGCGGCGCGCUUAACACAUGCAAGUCGAGCGAGAACCAGGACUUCGGUCCUGGGGACAGCGGCGAACGGGUGAGUAACACGUGGAUAACCUGCCCUCGGCACCGGUAUAGCCCGAGGAAACUCGGAUUAAUACCGGAUAGCCCUUCCGACUCUCGAGUCGGUCCGAAAAGGUAGCUUCGGCCUCUGGCCGAGGAUGGGUCCGCGGCGGAUUAGCUUGUUGGUGGGGUAACGCCUACCAAGGCAUCGAUCCGUAGCUGGUCUGAGAGGACGAUCAGCCACACUGGGACUGAGACACGGCCCAGACUCCUACGGGAGGCAGCAAUGGGGAAUCUUGCGCAAUGGGCGAAAGCCUGACGCAGCGACGCCGCGUGAGGGAAGAAGGCCUGG